AUCCAAUCAGGAUUGAGGCUGUUGUGGGCGGGUCUGGUAAAAGCAACAGCCAAUGACAGUACAGAAGCGAAGUUAAGCGUGAGAAAACCAGUCCAAAGAAAGCGGCUCUUCAGUCUCAGCAGGAGCCAGAAAAUUGGGAUCAGAAAGCCAGUAUGGAAAAUUUUGACAGCUGUCAGGAAGGAGGUUAUUGAAUUCAUUGGAGAAUGAGUGCUGUCCUAAAUUUGAAAGAAACUGCAAUCAGGACCUACCCUCAGAAAACUGACUCCACUUGCCAUCUUCCCUAUGGUUGUCUGGCAACACAACCAUAUUCUCGGGAAGGGGGACAGAACACCCAGGAAGAGGUCUUCUGGAGUGAUCUAGCUCCCACAAUGAGGAAGUAGAGAAAAGUCACAUGUGGAGAAGAAAAGAUGGUCUUUUCUUCUGAAGACUGUGAGAUUGGUCUAUUUGCUUUAAACAGACUGAACAACCUCUAAAAUAAGCAGACUUCUAUGACGGGCUGCCUCAUUUUGGAUGUGCAAAGAUGUUUACUGAGCUUCUCAUCUAAGACUUGAUUCUUCUCUCAGCGUGACACAGUUAAGGGUUUAAAGGGGGUGCGCUGUCUGCAUGUUUUAGAAGACGGCAGAAGAAAAAUGCCUCUGUUCUACAGCAUGAUCAGGUAUCUGCAUCUCCCCAAGGAUUUUUCAUGAACCUUAGAAGGAAAUCUGUAUUAUUCGGGUUCCCAAGGGCAAAUCACUCUUGCCAAGAGACCACUGAGCGGUUUUCAAAGAUGUAAAACAUUUCUUGUGUUCCUAGUAACCAGUUUAGACCUGGGUCAGGUUGGGGGUUCAAGACUUUCAUGAAACCAAGGAAAAUCAUUUUCUGGAGAGUUUUAGAUAAUUACCAUAGGUUUUAUAUAUUAACUUACAGCAAAAUAAUGAAAUAAACAAAUGAAUUUAUA